rnacentral:rRNA from 1 species
UAGUGGUUUGUAUUUGGACUGGUGAGAUGUUAUAAAUAUCUCAGUAAUCUAGAUCAGGGCAAGUCUGGUGCCAGCAGCCGCGGUAAUACCAGCCUGAUCAAGCGUAUGCUUUAGUUGCUGCGUUUAAAAAGCUCAUAGUUGGAUCUUCGAGAGCGUGAUCAUCAAAGGGCGUAGUUCGGUUACGGUCGUUCUAUUCCUGGUCACGGACUUUCAUUAUACUUGUACGACAGUUUAUUCUUAACUGAAUAGACUGACGAAAACAAGUGAUAAACCUUGAAAAAAUUAGAGUGCUCAAAGCAAGCUUUGGCCUUGAAUUUUAAAGCAUGGAAUUGAGGAAGAGGACCAUUAUGGUCGUGAACCAUUUUGGUAAUGAUUAAAAGGAACAGACGGGGGCAUACGUAUUGCUCGGGGAGGGGUGAAAUCCGUAGAUCCCAGCAAGACGACCUACUGCGAAAGCAUUUGCCAAGAAUGUUUUCAUUAAUCAAGAACGAAAGUUAGAGUAUUAAAGAGGAUUAGAUACCCUCGUAAUUCUAACCUUAAACGAUACCACCCGAAUCUUAGCCAAUGUAAUUUAUUACUUGGUUAGGAUUAAACCUGGGAAACCAAAGCUUUUUGGUCCGGGG